GACGAACGCUGGCGGCGUGCUUAACACAUGCAAGUCGAACGGAAAGGCCCUGCUUUUGUGGGGUGCUCGAGUGGCGAACGGGUGAGUAACACGUGAGUAACCUGCCCUUGACUUUGGGAUAACUUCAGGAAACUGGGGCUAAUACCGGAUAGGAGCUCCUGCUGCAUGGUGGGGGUUGGAAAGUUUCGGCGGUUGGGGAUGGACUCGCGGCUUAUCAGCUUGUUGGUGGGGUAGUGGCUUACCAAGGCUUUGACGGGUAGCCGGCCUGAGAGGGUGACCGGCCACAUUGGGACUGAGAUACGGCCCAGACUCCUACGGGAGGCAGCAGUGGGGAAUAUUGCACAGUGAGCGGAAGCCUGAUACAGCAACGCCGCGUGCGGGAUGACGGCCUUCGGGUUAUAAACCGCUUUCGCCUGUGACGAAGCGUGAGUGACGGUAAUGGGUAAAGAAGCACCGGCUAACUACGUG
rnacentral:rRNA from 1 species